GCCCGUGUGAUGGAAUGGUAGACAUAACGGACUUAAAAUCCGUGGGACAUUAGUCCUUGCCGGUUCAAGUCCGGCCAUGGGUACCA
rnacentral:tRNA from 11 species